rnacentral:rRNA from 1 species
AAAACGGAGAGUUUGAUCCUGGCUCAGGAUGAACGCUGGCGGUAUGCUUAACACAUGCAAGUCGAACGAAACCUUUCGGGGUUUAGUGG